rnacentral:rRNA from 1 species
AGCUCUGCUGGCGUAUACCAAUGCUGUUGCGGUUAAAAAGCUCGUAGUUGGAUCUAGGCACGCAGGCUACGGUGCGGCCCUAGUGGUUGCUACUGUUGGCCGGUGCACUUUGUGUCAGCUUGUCGUCGUUGGCCUUCAUCGGUUGACGGCGGCGGCUGGCGAGUUUACUUUGAACAAAUCAGAGUGCUCAAAACAGGCGUCUUGUCUGUAUGCUUUUGCAUGGAAUAAUGGAAUAGGACUUUGGUUCUAUUUUGUUGGUUUUCGGAACACAAAGUAAUGAUUAAGAGGGACAGACGGGGGCAUUUGUACUGCGACGUUAGAGGUGAAAUUCUUGGAUCGUCGCAAGACAAACUACUGCGAAGGCAUUUGUCAAGAAUGUUUUCAUUAAUCAAGAACGAAA